rnacentral:lncRNA from 1 species
AGCUGCUGACUGGCGGCGAAGGCGAACAGGCCGCCUUCGCGUCCCGGGACGGGAACUCACCUUCUCUGAGGCAAGGGCAGGUGUCUACUUUAAAACUACUGUCCCCCCUCCCCGCCGCCGCCAUAGUGGAGCCGCCAAAGCCGCCGCCGCCUUCUCCACAGCACCGGCAAGUGAGCAGGCAGGGGUGGAGGUGGCAGAGGAGGGAGGCACCAGCAAGGCCGCCGCCGCUGCCGCCGCGUAGGCGGCGGCGGAGGCGACAGCUUAGGGAACUUCCCGAGGGUGGGAAGACCUCGCCAGCUGAGCUACAGCUUUCGGCGACGCCACCGCCGCCGCCGCCGUCGCAGCCUGGCGCGCACAAUUGCACUGGAGUCCGGAUUCCGUUAGGCUUUUUUUUUUUUAGCCCCGCCUUCGCCCAAGCUCCACCUCCCAUCCUUUGCUUCCUCUUUGGCAACCCCAGCCUCGCUCUGGCUCCCCUCAUCCUCCAAUAGGAGAGCCAUGCACCCGCAGGAUGCCUCCCCCUUCCCCCGUGGCUCUGCAGUACGGACCUCCCUCCGGAGAGGAAGAAAAAAGAUGGCCAAGGGCGAAGGGCAAAAAGCGCGGGAUGUAAAAACAAAUGUCCUUAUACGGUGGGGACUGACGCACUAAUCUAACAGCAUUUUUUUUUUAAAUGUCAGGCUCUCUCUUGAUCCCACCUCCAAAAUCUCUCUAAAAGACAUUUUCCCCUCUUUUGAAAUAAGCAGGAUCUGGUCCUUCAGUCUAAAUGGCCCCUUAAACAACAGCUUGGCCAUCAAAAUUACCGUAAAUCUGGUGCACAGUGGAAGAACGGAACUAUUACUCAGCGUUUAAUUCUCAUCACUUUCCCCCAAACCCCUUAGAACUCCAAUAUUUUAUGUUCAUUUCCCUGCCUUUAAAACAUACAAAUUGUCACGUAGAUGUAUGCUUAAAUACUGUUAUUUUUGUUAUAAUAAAAAAUACACACUUAAAACCA